CAGAGUUUUUCCUGUUACCUUAUAUUGCUGUAGCAGCACAUCAUGGUUUGCAGGGCUGCUUUCAUAACUCAAGCCAUUAUUUGCUGCUGUAGUGCUUUAAGGCUAAACCAGAAAAAAAAUU
rnacentral:precursor_RNA from 17 species